ACUCUCGAUAACAAUGAGCAGCUGGCCGACCGUAGACACAAAUAGCAACAAGAAUUAUCACUUCAAAUAUCAACAUGAAAGCAAAGAAGGUUUUGUCCCCACCAAAUCUCCAGACAAACCGUAGUGUCUCAAACCACAGGAGGUUGUAGCCAAAACCUGAAAACGGCACCACGCUUUCCACAGAUAUUACAGACAGUUUCAUACACAGGACAACAUAUUUAAUACACUUUGUCCUACUCCUGAAAAGCACCAUGUACUACAUCAUCAUACUCUUCUUCAUAUACAGGAUGCAAAGUCCAAUCAAGCACCGGGGAAAAAAACCUUAAACUUCUCCUUACACC